rnacentral:rRNA from 1 species
UGGGGAAUUUUGGACAAUGGGGGCAACCCUGAUCCAGCCAUGCCGCGUGCGGGAAGAAGGCCUUCGGGUUGUAAACCGCUUUUAUUCGGGAAGAAGGAGUGGGGGUUAAUACCUCUCAUGACGGACGGUACUGGAUGAAUAAGCACCGGCUAACUACGUGCCAGCAGCCGCGGUAAUACGUAGGGUGCGAGCGUUAAUCGGAAUUACUGGGCGUAAAGCGUGCGCAGGCGGUUCUGAAAGUCAGCUGUGAAAGCCCCGGGCUUAACCUGGGAACUGCGGUUGAAACUAGAGGACUAGAAUCUGGCAGAGGGGGGUGGAAUUCCACGUGUAGCAGUGAAAUGCGUAGAGAUGUGGAGGAACACCGAUGGCGAAGGCAGCCCCCUGGGCUGAGAUUGACGCUCAGGCACGAAAGCGUGGGGAGCAAACAGGAUUAGAUACCCGGGUAGUCC